AGGGAAUCUUCCACAAUGGACGCAAGUCUGAUGGAGCAACGCCGCGUGAGUGAAGAAGGUUUUCGGACCGUAAAGCUCUGUUGUUGGUGAAGAAGGAUAGAGAUAGUAACUGGCCUUUAUUUGACGGUAAUCAACCAGAAAGUCACGGCUAACUACGUGCCAGCAGCCGCGGUAAUCGUAGGUGGCAAGCGUUGUCCGGAUUUAUUGGGCGUAAAGCGAGCGCAGGCGGAAGAAUAAGUCUGAUGUGAAAGCCCUCGGCUUAACCGAGGAAUUGCAUCGGAAACUGUUUUUCUUGAGUGCAGAAGAGGAGAGUAGAACUCCAUGUGUAGCGGUGGAAUGCGUAGAUAUAUGGAAGAAUACCAGUGGCGAAGGCGGCUCUCUGGUCUGCAACUGACGCUGAGGCUCGAAAGCAUGGGUAGCGAACAGGAUUAGAUACCCUGGUAGUCCAUGCCGUAAACGAUGAGUGCUAAGUGUUGGGAGGCUUCCGCCUCUCAGUGCUGCAGCUAACGCAUUAAGCACUCCGCCUGGGGGAGUACGACCGCAAGGUUGA
rnacentral:rRNA from 1 species